GAACGAUGAAAGAGAAUCCGAUCUCUUCGGAGCUGAAGAAUCUCUGGAUUAGUGGCGGACGGGUGAGUAACGCGUGAGCAAUCUGCCUUACACAAAGGGAUAGCCUCGGGAAACCGGGAUUAAUACCAUAUGAUAUCUAUUAACCGCAUGGUAAAUAGAUUAAAGAAUUUCGGUGUAAGAUGAGCUCGCGUCCCAUUAAUUAGUUGGUGAGGGUAACGGCCCACCAAGAUAGCGAUGGGUAGCCGAUCUAAGAGGAUGACCGGCCACAUUGGAACUGAGAAACGGUCCAAACUCCUACGGGAGGCAGCAGUGGGGAAUAUUGCACAAUGGGGGAAACCCUGAUGCAGCGACGCCGCGUGAGCGAUGAAGGCUUUCGAGUCGUAAAGCUCUGUCCUAUGGGAAGAUAAUGACGGUACCAUAGAAGAAAGCCCCGGCUAAUUACGUGCCAGCAGCCGCGGUAAUACGUAAGGGGC
rnacentral:rRNA from 2 species